GAGGGAGUUUGGAGUAAGGAGCGGAGGCGGUAUUUAGCCAUAUUUCUGAAACUUGACUCAUCACGGUGGUUGGAGUUUUUGGUUUGUUUUGUUUUUGGUUGUUUUUUGUUUGGUUGGUGAGGUUUUUUUCCCCAAGAGAAAGCUGAUCCUUUUUUGCACCAAGAACAGAGGACAUAACUAUUCCCCCAUCCCCCAUGGAACCCAGAUUCCUGUAGGAGAGAUGUAUAGACUAUGUUGGGGUUCAAGGACAUACCCUUAUGAGGUGCGGUGAUAUUUUUGAUGGGCUGACCAUGACUUUGAAGGUGCAAGUUCAGAGAAUACAAAUGGAAAAAAGUCACGAAGUAUAGUAAUUUUUUAAAAUUAAUGUGACACCUAGAAAGUUCUAAGUGAGUCAUUGUAACCUAAUAAUAAUUGGUCCUGUAUUAAAAAAAGUUUUAAAAAGUAUUUUUCCAAGAUGCUUCCAGUCUUUUUUUUUAAACCUCUGAAUCACACUGUUACUAUUUUGUCGCCUAGCAAGCUUCUAUCAGUGAAACUACAGGCAACACUCUAGGUUGAUCCAGGAAAAUUCCUGAGAUUUAUUUAUCAGCAGGCCAGUUCAGACUAUAGCCCAAGGCCAUGGUUUGCAUUUUUGGUGAGCUGGUCGGAGUGCACCUUGGGAUCUAUUGGGAUCAGGUGUGAAUGAGUCAGUAGUCCUGUACUUCAGUGGUUUUCACUAUAUAACACUUGUAUCAUUUAAAAUGGUAUUUUCAUGGCUUUUGAAGUGAUUAGACUUCGGGGUCAAACUGAACUGUGUGGUCGGUUGGGCACCAAAUCUGCUCAGGACCGUGUAGGAUCCUCACCUACAACUACCUCAUGUUUCACAGCAAGUUUUCCUCUUUGAUCCUACAACUCCCCAGCCUGAAAAACUGCAUUAUUUUCACCUCUUGUUGAAUCGCAGGUCUGCAAGUAGGGCUUUGUGAUCACAAAGCCCAGUUGGUUAUUUUUACCACUUCAGUGAUGGUUUCAGACGACCACCGUGUUCUUGUUCAUUAUUGCUUAAAUAUAUCAUUGCGUGGUGUCAUGGCUUAUGGCUAAUAAAACUCCCACUCUGAGUGACUGCAGCCUGGCUUGGUGGAAAGUGACAUUGCGAGCUGCAGGCAGGCUCUGAAGUGGCAGGUUUUAGAUGUUCCCUGAUGCCAGGGAUUGAUCUCAGCUCCGCGCAAUGGAGGACAGAGAAGUAGAUGACAGAAGGGUCCCUGCCAGAGCCCGGGACAAAGACUUUCAGAGCCUGUGGUCGAGUAGAAACCUCACUGCCUUCUUCCUCUGUCACCAUCAGAAUGCACGCUGCAGCCCCUUCUUUUCCUCCCCAACAACCAGCCAAGCGCAAGACAAGAGUGCAAACUCUGGUAUAAAAUUAUACUUCGCCUCCUCGAAGUGUGUUAGAUGACUUUUUUCUCACUCUCUUGAUGCCAAACAGCAAGACGCUUAAAACUAAAAUCUGUUUCUUUUUCCUUUCAGUUUAGUCAGUCCCACACUCGGUCUUGAGUGCCUGAUGUGCUCACCUAGCUCCAUGCCUGGCACAUAGAAGGGACUCUAGAAAUACUUGCUGAAUUACAAAACGCAUGGAGGUGCCUGGCCCGGCAGCAGUGAUGAGGAAAUGGAAGGGAAAUUUAAGUUCAAGAGCAGGCAAAGUAAACCUCUGCCUACGAGGAGUCAGGACACUGGUUACCCUUGAAGAGAGUUGACUCGAAGGGGGCUGUGCUAAUAUUUUCUUUCUUGAUCCUGGUUCUGAAUAUUGGGCUGCCUGUGCUUUGUGAAAAUUCAUCCAGCCAAGCGGCUAGGAUUUGUGUACUUUUAUUUAAUGUAUUCUACACUGCAAUAAAAAAAAAUGUGUUUUAAAGUUGUCCUCAAGUAACUUAGGAUCUAAUUGCAGAUGGGGCUGGAAGGUGGAAGUGGUAAGUGAUAAAUAUAUAUAGUCGUCAAAUUAAAAUGUUAUUUGGCUGAACCCAAAUUCCAGGAACUGCUGUGAGAGCAGAGCAGAGAGUGGUUCCUUCCAAACUCCGCCCUGAUGCGUGGCACUGAUACAGGUUUCUGGGGGCUGGUCACCUCUCGGGCUGAAGCCCUCCUGUCUCAUGCACAAGGAUGUCCAAACUCAGCACCCCUGUCGGUGACGCAGAAGCCUGGGUGGCUGGUGCAGCUUUGUCUGCUGGCUCCCAUUUAUGAUUUUUUUUUUUUUUCUUUUGUAAAGAAAGAAACAUAAGGAAAACAUUUGCUUUGACAUUGAAUCCACCCCCACAUGUAACAGUAAUUGCAGGGCCUGGAGGGAGAAAAAGAAAGUAUCAUUCCAAUUUGGGGCCAACCAGCCUUGACAAUAUUGUGUUAAACCUUUUAAAGAGCUGAAGUCAGGCUGCAGCCAGCCCCCCCCGCCCCCCCGCCCCCCAACACAGGUGGACAAUGGGGAACACUGAGAACCUUAGCUGGGAGAAGCAUUGAUGAGCCAGGAGAUGUAAGGGGCCAGACACUUCCUUUCUGGGGCACUCUUCAGGGAAGACUUGUGAUUCCAGGCCUGGCCCUGGAAAUGGCUUGUGCUACUGAGCCCCAGGGGGCUUUGGCCAUGAGCUAGUUGGAUGCCCAGUUCACAUGAUAAGAUGCGACCACUUGACCGCCACUUGGAGCCUGAUUGGAUCUCCCUAAAAAUGACAGCUGGCAAAGCACUGUAGAAGCAGAGGCCUCUGAAAAGUCCCAAAGCACACAUGCUUUUUCCUCCAGUCUCUGUGUGUCUGUAAAAGUUCAAAUACUGAGUCAAGUUUAUUGUUUCUAUCUCGUUUAUUUUAAGUAUAGUUUUACACUUUAUUAUGUGCAGUGACAUCUUAAAUGGAGCCUGUCACUCCAUCUUGACUACUGCUAGGGGCUAGAGCCACUUACCAUGUCACACAAUUCAGCAGCCCUGAUUAACGGUAUCUGAAUGAGCAGCUCCAACUCUACCCACUCCCCCACCCCCAGAUAGUGCCCCUAUUUACAUGAAGCAAAAUACUGGAACAACGGGAUCUUGUAUCUAAAGUGAGAAGGAUUCUAAAAUGGUGAAGUUUGGGCUAGCAUUUUCUUUUCCUCUCUUUUCCUCCUUCCUUCCUUCCUUUCUCCUCCCUCCCUCCCUCUAUCUCCUCCCUCCCUUCUUCAGCUUUUCUGAGAAUAAUAACUAGAUUAAAAGCACCCCCCUCCAGCCAAGCAUACUUUGGUAUAUUUCUCUCUCUCUCUCUGAGAAUAACAUUUUGUUAGGUUAAAUCAUGCCCCUCAAACAACAACAGUAUAAAACAAAAUACCACCCCAAAACUUGAUUUUCUUCCUCUCCCCUCGCCAGUUACAAGUCAGUUUUUGUAGCCCUGUCAUUAUGCGAGGUAGCCUAGAGUAAUUUGAAUAUUUCAUUCUCCCGGCUGCUAAUGCAGCAUGCGUUACAGAUGGUACUUGCUUCAUCCUUCUGGACCUGGUUCAAUUAUAAAUGAAAGUAGGGAGCUGAGAUUUGUCUUUUUGUCUCUGCUUAGUUGGAAUAACACAAUAAAGCUUGAUGGGUAGGAAUUUCUCAAACUGCCUCUUUUUCGCCUCGGACAUUUCCCAAUUAGAUCUCUCCUCAGAGUAUUUGGGGUGCACUCACAGUCAAAGCCAAAUGCGUAAUUAAGUUUGUGGAUAUUUUCUUCCCCUUCGCUUGGACAUUAUUCUAAAAGUGCAAGUGGCUUCUGCCCCAACCCCCGCCUUUUCUUUUUGGUUUCUAUUUGUCAUCAGUUCCUUAGCUAUGACUCCAUGAUUUAUUCAGGAACCUGGAGUAAAACCACUUCCCUCCUCUGUGCCCUUAAAAGUCCCGUCCCCUCACAUGGUACCGCUUAGGGGCACAUUGGUGGUCAGGGACAAGGAUUUUUCUUCCCAGUAAAGCAUGUAUAUACCCAGCUUAUGAACUCAGUAUAUAAAAAUAGAACACACGUGUAUAGUAAAUUAUGCCAACUUAUGAGUGCAAUCUUAUAUGCACAUAUUUAUUAGAUACUGGUAGUAUUUUAAGUGUGUGUGUGUGUUUGCGUGCAUGCUGAAAGAUUUGGGUUUGGUAUGUUAUUGGAAGUCUGAAAAAUAAACAAUGCAUAUAUUCUUUUAUUGGGGCACAUGAUUUUUAUGACCAUUCUUGGUAAAUACCAAAGCAUUUGGUAAAUAUUAAAGCUGUUUACCUCAAGUUGUAUUUAUUUGGGAUCCAUAUAAGGUUUUUCCCCUCUCAGCUCCCAAUUCAUGCAGUGUUCUAGAUAAGCUUAGAGGAAUGACUGCUAUAGAUAUAUCUCCCAGUAAUUUGAAAGGAGUGGGGGGGGGGCAUUGACUCCGUUUCUCUUGGAUUGAUUGACUGAUUGCUCUUUCAUUAGAUUAUGUGGACGCUGGGGUUCCCGUCGUGGCGCGGUGGAAAUGAAUCCAACUAGGAACCAUGAGGUUGUGGGUUCGAAUAGGGCAGCUGUAGCUCCUAUUCGACCCCUAGCCUGGGAAUCUCCAUAUGCCACUGGUGUGGCCCUAAAAAGCAAAAAAAAAAGGAUGCUUGCUCCACGCAGAUCAAUUUGUUUUAAAAAUUUCACUUUGUUCCUCACCUACUGUUGAAAAGCAACUUUGCACGAUCACACUCGUGUUGUGUCCACCACACUCUGUUUCCACCUUUGGAAAGUUAAACAGGGCUAGAAAUGAGUAGUAUCUUCUAACCACCUACAUUUCACUAAGGUCAAGUCAUUAAGAGGAAGGAUAAAGUGACCUACAGAGAAAUUGCUAGAGUGUAAGAGCUGUGAUGUUCUAGCAGAAGCAGCCUGGCCUAAGGAUCUUUGGUCUUUUCUCAAGCAAGUUGCAACAGUUCUCAGCUCAGCAUCGUCUUUCUUUUUCCUACUCAGUUAAAUGGGAUCCAAAUUAAUUCUAAUAUGGCGGGGAGUUCCCACUGUGGCCCAGCAGAAAUGAAUCCAACUAGUAUCCAUGAGGAUGUGGGCUGGAUCCCUGGCCUUGUGCAGUGGAUCAGGGAUCUGGCAUUGCUGUGAGCUGUGGUGUAGGUAGCAGAGUCGACUCGGAUCUAGUUGCUGUGGCCAUGUGGUAGGCCGGCAGCUGUAGCCCUGAUUGGAUCCCUAGCCUGGGAACUUCCAUAUGCCAAGCGUGCGGCCC
rnacentral:lncRNA from 1 species